AUUGAUUGAUGAUGAUAAUAUGAUUAAUCAGCACACUCCAUUGUCGUUGCCCUCACACUUACAGCGAGAGCCCUUUCACUCGCACGUUUGCCAAAUUUUUUCCGACGAGACCUCCUUAUAUAGUUUCUUUAUGGGUGCGUGCAUGUUAGUGUCGGUGCGUGUCGGUGAAUGUCUGUUCAUGUCGGUUCAUGUGUGGGCUUGAUUUGUGGGUGAAAAGCUUUCGCUUUUAUUUCCGCCUCUUUCCCACUUGUUGCCCUGCGGUCGGUCACUGGCUCCUGUCAAGGCUGAAGUGAAAGCAG
rnacentral:lncRNA from 1 species